GAUUGAACGCUGGCGGCAGGCCUAACACAUGCAAGUCGAACGGUAACAGGAAGCAGCUUGCUGCUUYGCUGACGAGUGGCGGACGGGUGAGUAAUGUCUGGGAAACUGCCUGAUGGAGGGGGAUAACUACUGGAAACGGUGGCUAAUACCGCAUAACGUCGCAAGACCAAAGAGGGGGACCUUCGGGCCUCUUGCCAUCAGAUGUGCCCAGAUGGGAUUAGCUUGUUGGUGAGGUAACGGCUCACCAAGGCGACGAUCCCUAGCUGGUCUGAGAGGAUGACCAGCCACACUGGAACUGAGACACGGUCCAGACUCCUACGGGAGGCAGCAGUGGGGAAUAUUGCACAAUGGGCGCAAGCCUGAUGCAGCCAUGCCGCGUGUAUGAAGAAGGCCUUCGGGUUGUAAAGUACUUUCAGCGGGGAGGAAGGUGUUGUGGUUAAUAACCACAGCAAUUGACGUUACCCGCAGAAGAAGCACCGGCUAACUCC
rnacentral:rRNA from 1 species